rnacentral:rRNA from 1 species
UACGUAGGCAGCGAGCGUUGUUCGGAAUUACUGGGCGUAAAGAGUGUGUAGGCGGUGCUCUAAGUUCGGUGUGAAAUCUCCUGGCUCAACUGGGAGGGUGCGCCGGAAACUGGAGUGCUUGAGCGUGGGAGAGGAAAGCGGAAUUCCUGGUGUAGCGGUGAAAUGCGCAGAUAUCAGGAGGAACACCGGUGGCGAAGGCGGGUCUCUGGGCCGAAAUUGACGCUGAGGAGCGAAAGCGUGGGGAGCAAACAGG